rfam:Schistosoma haematobium scaffold2229_2, whole genome shotgun sequence.
AUAUAGCUGACGAGUCCCGAAUAGGAUGAAACGCACGUCCUUGAU